AUUGAACGCUGGCGGCAUGCCUUACACAUGCAAGUCGAACGGUAACAGGUCUUCGGAUGCUGACGAGUGGCGAACGGGUGAGUAAUACAUCGGAACGUGCCCGAUCGUGGGGGAUAACGGAGCGAAAGCUUUGCUAAUACCGCAUACGAUCUACGGAUGAAAGCAGGGGACCGCAAGGCCUUGCGCGGACGGAGCGGCCGAUGGCAGAUUAGGUAGUUGGUGGGAUAAAAGCUUACCAAGCCGACGAUCUGUAGCUGGUCUGAGAGGACGACCAGCCACACUGGGACUGAGACACGGCCCAGACGUCCUACGGGAGGCAGCAGUGGGGAAUUUUGGACAAUGGGCGCAAGCCUGAUCCAGCCAUGCCGCGUGCAGGAUGAAGGGCCUUCGGGUUGUAAACUGCUUUUGUACGGAACGAAAAGGUCUUUUCUAAUAAAGAAGGCUCAUGACGGUACCGUAAAGAAUAAGCACCGGCUAACUACGUG
rnacentral:rRNA from 1 species